UUUUUUCCACUGCCGAGAGCUGUGUUAUCCUUUCCAAGCCCCCAGGAGUGCAGUGACCGGCAGGCAGAGAGCGACAGGUUUUUAAAAAAGACCACAAUGAAAAAUUCUGAAUCUGCAUGAACUUCACAGCUUGCUUGGAAAUGAUGCUGCUAGCAUGAGCUGAUGCACAAAACUGUCUGGGUUGUGAAGAAGACCACAGAAUGCCUGCGAACAGAGAACUUGGCAAAAGACUUCCAGUUACAGAUGGCUCCCCAAACACAACUUGAACAUACAGUUGCUCUCACAGGAGAGUUCAAAGACUACUUCCUGUUUUGCAGAAAAAAAUCCCAGUACCAGGGCAGUGCUACAUGCCAUUGAAUGAAUGAUUACUAAAUGUUCACAUCAUGACACUUGAGCAGCAGUGGUGAUUGGACUAAAACCCAGUGGAGACAGAUUAAUGUGAAACAGAUGGAUAUAGAACUCGAAGGU